rnacentral:misc_RNA from 1 species
GUAGAAGAUGGUAGCCCAGAUCUAACGGGAUGAAUUUCUUCACUUGCAGUAGUAGCAAUGCCAGAUGUUCCUCGUUCAUGAACCUGAAAAUGCAUAUUUUGUCUUGAGGAAGUAUCAGAGUGCUCUGGAACAGUAACACCUUCUCGUGGCCAUGCAGCAGCAAUAGCUCUAGUUGCCAAAGGAGGAACCACACCAGACCUUGUUCUUUUCCCCCUUGGUGGCUUAUUUAUUUCAUUAACUAGCCGCUUCCUUGCUUCUUCUAAGUCUUCCACCAUCCCACCCAGAACUUCAAUAACUUCAGGGACCAACAUCAGAAUUCCAUGCCUAACAUGAACAUUACAGAUAGCAACCUUCAGUCCAGAAGGAGCUAGAACAUCGAGAUCUUUUAUAGGCCUGUACUCCAUCCCAAACACUCGCUGAAUGCCAUCAGUCAU